rnacentral:misc_RNA from 1 species
UAGACUUGACUUAGAAAGCUAAAAACAAAUUGACAAAAGAAACGUACAAAUAAAAACAACUAUUCAACAACCCCUCCCUUAAACUGAAAAAAAAAACUUUUGACUUCAGUUUAUGUGCAGCUUCUUCAUGCUAAAUUCUCCAAAGUGCAAAUUCCCAUUAACUUUAUCAAAUAUUAGAAGGGAAGCAAUUUGAGUGGUUUAGUAAAUAGAUCAGCCAGCUGUUCUUCACUUCUGCGGUACUUCAAAUUAAUUACUCCAUCAUUGUUGAGAUCUCUUAAAAAAUAAUACUUCACAUCAAUGUGCUUACUUCUUCCAUGAAGUACAGUAUUCUUGGAAAGUUUAAUAGUUGAAUUGUUGUCACAGAAAAUAGUUGUAGCUCCCACUUGCUUGAAAUGUGGCUCUUAAAGAAUUUUCCUCAACCAAAUUGCUUGACAAGCACAAGCUGUAGCCGCAACAAAUUCAGCUUCUGUAGUCGACAAUGUGACAAUAGGUUGCUUCUUGGAUGACCAUGAAACAACUGCUAUACCCAUCAGUAAACCCAUACAAAUCUGAACUUUUACCCUUUUUAUAGAACAACCCAAAUUCUCUAGUGCCUUGCAAGUAGCGAAAAAUUCUUUUGGCAGCUAAGAGAUGCAUUUCAAUUGGAUUUUCGAUAUAUCUACUUAUUAAACUCACAGAAUGCAUUAUGUCUGGUCUUGUGGCAGUCAAAUACAUCAAACUACCAACAAUUUGCUUGUAAAGUGUGCUGUCCACUUUCUUGCCUUCAUGAUCUUUGUCUAGCUUCAAGCCAAAUUCAGUUGGAGUACUCACUGGAUUGCAAUCCUUCAUCUGAAAUCUAUCCAAAACCUCUCGCAAAUACUUCUUUUGAGAAACAAAAAUUCCAUUAGUAGAUUGCACUACUUCUAUGCUAAGAAAGUAAUGCAUUAAACCAAGAUCAGUCAUUUCAAAUUCAACCAUCAUAGACUUCUUGAAUUCUUCAAACAUGAGAUUAUCACUUCCAGUAAAUAAGAUCAUCUACAUAUAAGCAAACAAUGAGCAUUUUUCCUCCAUCUCCAGUUUUAACAAAAAGUAUAUGCUCACAUGGACAUUUUCGAAAACCUUCUUUUAAAAAAUAAGCCUCAAUGCGACUAUACCAAACCCGUGGGGCUUGUUUUAAACCAUAAAGAGCUUUUUUUAAUCUAUACACUUUAUGCUUAUUUCCUUUCUUAAUAUAACCAGGAAGUUGAUCAAUAAAUACCUGUUCCUCCAAGUUUUCAUGGAAGAAUGCGGAUUUGACAUCCAACUGGAAGAUAGGCCGUGAAUUUUGGGCUGCCAAUGCAAUCACCAAUCUAAUUGUGUCAUGUCUUGCAACUGGGGCAAAAACUUCUUUAUAGUUGACCCCAUACUCUUGCUUGUAUCCCUUAGCCACCAAUCGCGCCUUAUACUUGUCAACUUCACCAUUUUUCCGUAUUUUUGUCUUGAAAACCCACUUUACACCAAUGGUUUUGUGCCUUUUAGGGAGGUCACAUAGCUCCCAAGUAUUAUUUCUUUCAAUGGUUGCAAUUUCAUCAUCCUUUGCCUUCCGCCACUUUGAUUCUUUGACAGCACUUUAAAAAGUUGCAGGGUCACAAUUUGAAAAUAAAGCAAAGUGAGUAAUGGGAUCUUCAACUUCAUUAAUUUCAGUUACCUCAUAAUAUUUCAUCCAUGCGAGCCUUUUUCGAGCACGAUGAAGAGGUUGAGCUACUACAUCACUAGUUUCUUUUGUUGUUGCUGAAAUUUCUCCAAUUGUUGGAGUUGAACAUGAUGAAUUUUCAGAAUUAGAGACUGAUGGAGUUGGCUGCCCAUUUUCUUCAAUGUCAAAAUCAGAACUGACUGGAGUAGGCUGCUGCCCAUUCCAGUCCCCAGUGCUUUCUUCAUCAAAAAUAAUGUCCCUGCUGAUCACAAUCUUAUUUGUUAGUGGAUUGAACAAUUUAUAUGCUUUGGAUGUAUCACUGACACCUAGGAAGACACACUUUUCACCCUUAUCAUCAUGUUCUUCCUUUUCUUAUCUGGGACAUGUGCAUAAGCGAUGCAACCAAAAAUUCUGAAGUGAUCUGCUGCUGGUCUCCGUCCACUCCAAGCCUCUUCUGGUGUCAUGUUUUGAACAGCAAAAGUAGGGCUUCUGUUCAACACGUGGAUGCUCCAAUUUACUGCUUCCGGCCAAAAACUCUUUGGAAUUCUCCCUCUUGCCAACAAGCUUCUCACCAUAUUAAGGGUGGUUCUAUUUUUUCUCUUCGAUACACCAUUUUGUUGUGGUGUAUAAGCAGCUGUGAGCUCUCUUCGGAUACCAUGAGCCUCACACAAAACCUCAAAUUCUUUUGGGCAAUAUUUGCCACGAAGAUCAGUACAGAGAGUUUUAAUAGUUUGUCCUGUUUCAUUUUCAACACUUGCCUUGAAGCUUUUAAAUGCACUAAAAGCUUUUGAUUUUUCCUGCAAAAAAGAAACCCAAGUUUUUCGAGUAUAUUCGUCAAUGAAGGUAAUUAAGUAUCUUUUACCCCCAUUAGAGGCUGGUUUUAUCGGCCCACAAAUGUUGGAAUGAACAAGCUCUAAGAUAGUUUUUGCUCUCCAAGACUUUCCUUGAGGGAAUGGAGAACGCUGUUGUUUGCCAACAACACAUUCAUCACAAACUUAGGAAGGAGUAAUAAUUUGAGGAAGACGUGUCACCAUAUUUUUCUGCUGGGGAGUCUUUAAUCCACCAAAACUCAAGUGACCAUAACGAAAAUGCCAUAGCCAUGAAGGGUCUUUCACUUCAGCCACCAAGCAAGAUCGAACAGUUUCAAUCUUUAAUGGAAACAACCUGUUUUCACAAGCAUCCUUCUGGAUAGUGAUUAUAUAACCCUUCUCCUGUAAUUGACCAGCACUUAACAAAUUGCUUUUUAAGUUAGGAACAUAGAGGACAUUAGAAAUCUUUUCUAUAAAGCCCAUUCUUGGUUCUUAUCUCAAUAUGACCCUUUCCUAACACAUUAACAGUAGAACAAUCACCAAAACUUACUAUAGAAUGAAAAUCUUUAUUUAAAAAAGAAAAAGAAGACUUACUAACACACAUGUGGUUACUGCAGCCUGUAUCCACAUACCAAACAUCAGACACAGGUUCUUCACUAGCUUAAACAGCCAUUAACAAAGUUUGCUCUUCAUUUUUUCUUGUAAAAUUUGAUGUCUCUCCCUUUUCUUUGUUCUUAGGCAGCUUGGUAAAACAUUCAAAACGAUAAUGACCCAAUUUAUGACAUCUGACGCACUCUACCUUAGAUUUGUCAAACUGUUGAUCAUGUCCUCUGCCUUUGAUUUGAACUUGUUCAUCAUCAGCUUUGAAGUAGCUGCUGCCAUCUCUGUUGCCUUGUCCUCUCCUUCCUCGACCUUUACCUCUACCUCUACCCCUUCCUCUAGAACUUGUAAGAUGAAUAGAGGUAGAAGCCUUUAGAGCUUGCUCCUCUAUAGUUGAACUACGGUUCAUUUUCUGUUCAUGGGCCAACAAGGAGCUUUGGAGUUCAUCAAGAGAGAGUGCAUCUAUGUCUUUAGAUUCUUCAAUUGAGCAGACAACAUAAUCAAACUUUGGUGUCAUGGGCCGCAAUAUUUUCUCCACAAUGGUGACACCCUCCGUCUUCUCACCAUGGAAUCGCAUUUUGUUGCUUAUCUCCAUGGUUCUAGCACAAUAACUAGUGACAGAUUCACCAUCUUUCAUCUGCAGAGUCUCAAAAUCCCUCCUUAAUGCUUGGAGCUGUGCACGCUUCACUCUAGAGGAACCCUGAUAUUUCUUUUACAUGGAAUCCCAAAUAGCCUUGGAGGUUUCUUUAAUAAAAAUUGUUUCCAAGAUGGGAUGAUCAAUUGCCUGGAAGAGGUAAUUUUUGGCUUCCAAGUCCUUUAACUUCAUCUUUUCCAACUCUAUUUGCUGGGCAUCUGUCAAAGCUUCAUCUGCUUUUGGUUCGUCGAUUCCAGAUUCAAUAACCUGCCAAUACUCUUUUGAUCAUAGAAAAUUCUCCAUUAGCAUGCUCUAAUGGUCAUAGUGACCAUCAAAAC